GAACAAGGAGCAACGACAUGAGUGCUUCUCUCGAACAGAAAAAGGAAAAGGCCGAGAAUAGGAGCUAGGGUUUGAAUCGCCAUCUCCCUGGACAAGGGGAUGCGAUGGGGGCGGGAGGGGCGUGGGCCAAGGGGCCGCCCGCGGCGGAGCGCUGUGCCAGGCGCGGCGGCAGGGGACCCGUGGAGGACGGGGCGCGCGUGCAGUGGGUGUUCGUCAGCUGCCCCGGGGUGGGCAAGGCCACCUACGCCGGCCGCCUAUCGCGGCUCCACGGCGUGCCCCACAUCAACACCGGAGCUCUCCUCCGAAAGCCCCCUCUCCAGCGCGCCGCCACCAUCAGCCCCACCCACCGCGCGCCGCCACCAUCAGCCCCGCCCACCGCACGCCGUCGGCCAACCCCCCGCCGUGGAGCGCCGCCACCGCCUACCCUCCUCCCAUCGGGACCCCCCUGGAUCCAAAAAUCCAUCCACCCAGUCCUCGCCGCGAUUUCUAAAUCGAACCUACCGGCAGCCGGCGUACUGGCGGGGUGUGGGGAGAGAUCCAGAUGGUGACGGCGGACCAGAGGUCGGAGGCAGCGAGGUCCGACAGAGAAGGGCGAGGUGCGGCAGAGGAGGCGAGGGGUGGGCUGGUGUUGGCGACGAACAGCGGCUGGGUCGGGCGCUCGGUGAGGCAGAGGCGCGGGGGCACAGCUGCGCAGGGAGGCUGCCACCGCCGAGACAACCCCUCAGCACGCCAAUGCCCGCGGGCCACAGACGCGGCGGCCUUGACAUCUCAUCGAUGACGCACAUCGGCGUGCUGCUUGAGCGUGAGGGCAAGGAAAACAUCGAGCAAGCGGUCAUCCGGAAGGCGGCGGCGCAGAGCCUCGUGGAGCAUGCAGAGGAGGAGAUGCAUCUGAAACGCCUUACCAUGAGCAGACUGCCGAAAUUCUUCAUAGAGGCCUCCACUGACUGACAGAGGUAAAGGCAACCGCUGCUAACUGCUCUGCCACAGGGGUGAAGCCAGUAGUCAAUGGGUCAUCUCCGUACUCCAGGUUUUGAAGGUAAGACAUUCAAAGUCGGGCUGUAAACUCACUGGGGUCGUUUCUUAUCAUCAAUGGGGACUGCAUGUUUUGAACGGACCAUAUUUAUCCCAUAUCUAAUAGUUCUGAUGGCAAAUAGACACUGCUUUACUUUUAACUUUUUCGUAUGGGUGUGUCCUUUUAUUAAGUUAGGAAAUUGGGAUAUAUGUUGGUUUUGCAUUUGUGACACAGUAAAAGUUGUACUUGCUAAUGAUACCAGGUGGCAUCUUGAGAAUGUGUUAUUUUCUUGAAAUAA